rnacentral:tRNA from 1 species
GCGUAUAUAUUUUAAAAAAAAUAUUAGAUUGUGAUUCUAGUAAUGAAAGUUAAAAUCUUCCUAUACACC